GAUCCUGGCUCAGGAUGAACGCUAGCUACAGGCUUAACACAUGCAAGUCGAGGGGCGAUCAGUUUGGUUUGCUUGCAAACCAAAGCUGGCGACCGGCGCACGGGUGAGUAACACGUAUCCAACCUGCCUCAUACUCGGGGAUAGCCUUUCGAAAGAAAGAUUAAUAUCCGAUAGCAUAUAUUUCCCGCAUGGGUUUUAUAUUAAAGGUAUUCCGGUAGACGAUGGGGAUGCGUUCCAUUAGAUAGUAGGG
rnacentral:rRNA from 1 species